rnacentral:lncRNA from 1 species
UUGGAGGAGUGUAAGCCCUUAAAUAUAUGGGUAGUUAGGGCUUCCUAGCUGACGAGGACGAUGGAAGUCCAACUCCCACCUAGAGUUGGGGACGAAGGGUGGACUCCCUUUAAUUGGGAGUCUAUUUCAGCAUUCGUCAAUACGUGCAAACCAUGUGCCCAACCCACUAUUGGGUUGGGUGGCUGGCUGGCUCAGGCCAUAUUAGGCUAGUUCAAGCGGAUCAGGACAAAUAAUUAGUUAGAACUGUUUUAUCAUUUGUAUCUUAAA